GCCGGCUUGGCUCAGUGGAUAGAGCGUCAGUCUGUGGACUGAAGGGUCCCAGGUUCGAUUCCGGCCGAGGGCA
rnacentral:tRNA from 1 species